rnacentral:rRNA from 1 species
CCUACGGGUGGCAGCAGUGAGGAAUAUUGGUCAAUGGCCGGAAGGCUGAACCAGCCAAGCCGCGUGAAGGACGAAGGUGCCAAGCAUUGUAAACUUCUUUUGUCAAGGGACAAAAUCAGGCUCGAGAGCCUGACCGAGGGUACUUGAAGAAAAAGCAUCGGCUAACUCCGUGCCAGCAGCCGCGGUAAUACGGAGGAUGCGAGCGUUAUCCGGAUUUAUUGGGUUUAAAGGGUGCGUAGGCGGGCUGUUAAGUCAGCGGUAAAAGCCCGGGGCUCAACCCCGGAACGGCUUUGGAAACGGGGCAGCUAGAGUGCAGGAGAGGUAAGUGGAAUUCCUAGUGUAGCGGUGAAAUGCAUAGAUAUCGCGCAGAACUCCGAUUGCGAAGGCAGCGUACCGGCGCCAGACUGACGCUGAGGCACGAAAGCGUGGGGAUCGAACAGGAUUAGAUACCCUUGUAGUC